AUGGGUCUCUCACUGUUGGACACAAGAGAGAGGGGUGAGGUUUGUGAUGGGUCUCUCACUGUUGGACACAAGAGAGAGGGGUGAGGUUUGUGAUGGGUCUCUCACUGUUGGACACAAGAGAGAGGGUUGAGGUUUGUGAUGGG